GGAUGCGGACCGAGUGUCACAUGAAUUGCGACUAAAAGGAUAGCAGUUUACAUUCAAAUAGUUUUAAUUCUGUACAGGCUUCCACCACUAAAAUGGCUAGAUCUACUCGGCAAAAAUGACACAUCACCGCACUUAAUGAACCCGCAGUAGCCUUUAGUUUCUUCUAUUUAAACCUUGUUAGGACUUUCCGAAAAUGUCCAAUUGAAAUCUCUCUGCUUGUUGGAGGAGUUGGAAGAGAGCAAUCGUUGCAGAAGCUGCCUAUUAAUAUGUAUGGAGAAACUGCAGAUGCUUAAGGUCCCUCAGCAUCAAGUCGCAGGACAUGAAGCGGGCAUUGGGAAGCUGGGUCCCCUCGUGGAUGAAUCAGGGCGCUUCUACAAGCCUCUGCAAGGUGAUGAACGAGGGUCCAAUGAGGUUGCAUUCUAUACUUCAUUGUCUACUAACAGUGGGAUCCCGGAACACAUUCAAAGAUUUUUCCCCACCUUUUAUGGCACUCAGCUCGUAGAAGCAUCUGAUGGAUCUGGCAUGCUGCCUCACUUGGUCUUGGAUGAUCUUGCAUUAGGUCGUGUCAGUCCUUCAAUUAUGGACAUUAAGAUUGGUUCAAGAACCUGGGCACCCGAAGCAUCCGAGAAAUACAUUGAAAAGUGCUUAAAAAAGGAUCGAGAAUCAUCAAGCCUUUCAUUAGGAUUCAGGAUAUCGGGGUUGCAAAUCUAUAGAAGCAAAGAACUAGGGUUCUGGAAACCUGGAAAGAAAGCUGCUCAGAAACUCUCUGCAGAGGAAGUCAAGUUAGUCCUGAGAAGGUUUGUUUCUUCUAACACAUUGAAAGAUUUGGAUUCGAAACCAGACUGCGCUUUCGCAUCAACUGGUUAUGGCGGCUCUACUGGCAUUUUAUCUCAGUUACUGGAGCUGAAAUCCUGGUUUGAGGAUCAAACUAUAUUCCAUUUGUAUUCUUGCUCAAUUCUGUUGAUCUUUGAAAAAGAGCUGGCAAUGGAAGGAAAGAAUCCAGGUGCGCAAAUCAAGCUGAUUGACUUUGCUCAUGUUUACGAAGGACGAGGUGUCAUUGAUCAUAACUUCUUGGGUGGUCUCUGCUCGUUAAUAAAAUUCAUAGCUGAAAUUCUUACUGCUCCUAGUGAGUGCAGAAAAGAAGCUUCUGCAAAAGCUGAAGAACCUUACAGCCUCUGAUAAUGGUGUUGUAGCUGAUCAGAAGAACCUUACCUCCUCUGAUAAUGGUGUUGUAGCUGAUCAGGAGAACCUUACCACCUCUGAUAAUGGUGGUUUAGCUGAUCAGAAUAACCUUACCAUUUCUGAUAAUGGUGUUGUAGCUGAUCAGCAGAACCUUACCGCCUCUCAUAAUUGUGUUGUAGCUGAUCAGAACCUUACCGACUGUGAUUAUGGUGUUGUAGCUGAUCAGAAGAAGCUUACUGACUCUGAUAAGGGUGUCAGCUGAUACAACUCAAAACUCUUGUUGGAACCACUUCUCAUCCUGGACUCCAAUAAAGCCACAUUUUCCACCAUGCUGUGGAUAAUUUGCCUGAGUUGGUCAAUUUGGAGUCCUAUGCAAUGCUUACACGCGUCUUUUAUGAUUUUUCUGUAGUGCAAAGACAAUCUAAACUUAUGAUUUGCAGUCUUUGAUUACAUAUUUGCUACCUUACCUCA